GGCCGCUUUGAAAGCGACCGGUUGAAAGAGCAGCUGACUCUUAAUCAGCGGGUCGUAGGUGCAAUGACCUACCGCGCGUUCAGAUCGCGCACGGCGCCG
rnacentral:tRNA from 3 species